AAUCGCCAACGUCACUGUCAAGUACGCAAGAGUAUCGAAGAAAGUGGAGGUUAAUGCCGUGAUCAGGGUGAACAAAACCUUCGGUUCCAGUCCGGCUUUGGAAAUCUACGUCAGUGCUGUGGACGAGAACUCACGCUCGUGCAACCUCAGCGCUUCGCCGGAAGAGCUGAAUCUCUGCGAUGGAACAACGCGUACAGAAAAAAAGCUGACCUCUGAAUGGAACAACGAGUGCCCCAUAGAAGCAGGUACCUACAACGGUGAGCUGUCAUUCAAGGUUCGACCCUCCAGAACGGCCAAGUCUUGCCUAAAGGACAACCCUCUACUUGUCACGUUGAAAAUUAGGGACGAAGGCACCAUUCUGGAUUGCGUGUCUUUCCAUGUCACCACUCAUCGCUAGUGAAGAAACCUUUUGAAAUAUGGAAAUGGCUAUUACUUCAAUCCAAAAAGAGUGCUCAAGACUAUUCAAGUAUGCUGACGUAGAUGUUUUCACACUUCGGCUCCACACUGAUAAACGAUUUCUGAGAAGGUCGGAUGAUUGAUUUUGUUCAAACCUACUGAAAGAUGCGAAUAAAGAAAAGCUGAGACUA
rnacentral:lncRNA from 1 species